rnacentral:rRNA from 1 species
UUUUGCAUAUCAAAAAGCGGAGGAAAAGAAACCAACAGGGAUUGCCCUAGUAACGGCGAGUGAAGCGGCAACAGCUCAAAUUUGAAAUCUGGCCUCUUUUGGGGUCCGAGUUGUAAUUUGCAGAGGGCGCUUUGGAGUCGGCAGCGGUCCAAGUUCCUUGGAACAGGACGUCACAGAGGGUGAGAAUCCCGUACGUGGUCGCUAGCCUUCUCCGUGUAAAGCCCCUUCGACGAGUCGAGUUGUUUGGGAAUGCAGCUCUAAAUGGGAGGUAAAUUUCUUCUAAAGCUAAAUAUUGGCCAGAGACCGAUAGCGCACAAGUAGAGUGAUCGAAAGAUGAAAAGCACUUUGGAAAGAGAGUCAAAAAGCACGUGAAAUUGUUGAAAGGGAAGCGCUUGCAGCCAGACUUGCCUGUAGUUGCUCAUCCGGGCUUUUGCCCGGUGCACUCUUCUAUAGGCAGGCCAGCAUCAGUUUGGGCGGUUGGAUAAAGGUCUCUGUCAUGUACCUCUCUUCGGGGAGAACUUAUAGGGGAGACGCCAUGCAACCAGCUCAGACUGAGGUCCGCGCAUUCGCUAGGAUGCUGGCGUAAUGGCUGUAAGCGGCCCGUCUUGAAACACGGACCCAAAA